rnacentral:rRNA from 1 species
ACACUCCUGCGGGAGGCAGCAGUGGGGAAUAUUGGACAAUGGGCGCAAGCCUGAUCCAGCCAUGCCGCGUGAGUGAUGAAGGCCCUAGGGUUGUAAAGCUCUUUCACCGGUGAAGGUAAUGACGGUAACCGGAGAAGAAGCCCCGGCUAACUUCGUGCCAGCAGCCGCGGUAAUACGAAGGGGGCUAGCGUUGUUCGGAUUUACUGGGCGUAAAGCGCACGUAGGCGGACUAUUAAGUCAGGGGUGAAAUCCCGGGGCUCAACCCCGGAACUGCCUUUGAUACUGGUAGUCUUGAGUUCGAGAGAGGUGAGUGGAAUUCCGAGUGUAGAGGUGAAAUUCGUAGAUAUUCGGAGGAACACCAGUGGCGAAGGCGGCUCACUGGCUCGAUACUGACGCUGAGGUGCGAAAGCGUGGGGAGCAAACAGGAUUAGAAACCCUAGUAGUCCCAUG